AUUGCUUCUUGGCCUUUUGGCUAAGAUCAAGUGUAGUAUCUGUUCUUAUCAGAUCCUCUGUCUCCCUCUCUCUCAAAAAUAAACAUUUAAAAAACAAAAUAAAAUAAGAGAGAGAGAGAGAGAGAGACAACAAACCAAGAAUUCAAUCUCU
rnacentral:snRNA from 1 species